GAGGCUUAGUGGGGUCAUAUACAAAAUAAAAAUAUUUACACAACACCAUUGACAAAGCAGUUAUAUGAUUGUCUCUUGCAAACAGUGAUAGACAGCCCUGGACACACACCCUGAUUUCCUGUAGAAAGAAACCUGGAUUUGCACCUUUACAACGAGCGGGAUAUCAUCCUCCCAGCUUCAUAAGGGAUGAGGAUGCCACCAUAGACUGCCCAAGUUACAUUACAUCCUUCCUUUUAUCUUCAAGGCUUUUCUGAAAUACUCUGUUUCCCGGUUCCAACGAACAAACCUAUUUCUUUUCUUAGGAACCUGUAGCAGCAGCUUCUUGAGAUGAUCAAGCCAGCCUUGCAGCCCAUUGACAAUGAAAGAAGGGGCCCUGCUCUCUCCACUGACUGUCUUCCCCUUCAGCCACGUGCUUUCCUACUUUGUGUUACACCUUUCUGGUGCUUAGCAAACCCCUUAACAAACCUUCACAACUCUGUUACUCAGGGGAAAUUAAAACAGAUCAUAAGUAUCUGAUGAAUUAAUCGGAUGAAUUGGGUUGUGGGGUGUCCAACAGGCAUUGGGGAGGAGCAGAGUGAUGUAAAUGGGAACAUAAAAAGAGAACUGAGACUGUCCCUUCAUAACAACCAUGAGACCAGCUGCUCUUGAAAUUUCAGUGUGUUGCCUGCUCAGAUCAGAUAACAGACAGCAAGAAGUAAGGGGGGGGGGGGGGGGAGCUCUUCCAGAUUUACAGAUAAUUUCUACUGAUUAUACAGCAAAAGUAUCUGAAAUCUAAAGUCAAGUGAUUAAAAAACAAUAAUAACUAGAUUUCAUUACUAAUGUAUUUUUAUUCAUUAUUAAUUAUUAUCUAACUCACUUCUACAAUAGAAUGAAUGUAGCAUUAAUAUGAUUUAUUAAGUUGUGGUUAUCCCAGACUCAUGAUCUUUGGGUCCUAAAAAACAAGUUAGACACUUAUAAGUGUCUAACUUAUAGACACUUAUAGACACUUAUAAGACUUCUGAGCUUCUUUGUUGUUGUGGGUUUUUUGUUUGUUUGUUUUUCCUUACUACUUUACUCAUUAGCCCCACCUUGCAUACAGUUUCGCACAACAGUGCCAACAACAAAUUCUAUACAUUGUAAAAUAUGUUUAAUACGGCUCCAAUGUAAGUAACCAAAUCCUAAUGGGAUGGGGUACAUUUCUGUCUUUAUUCGCAGGUCACGUACAGGUCUCCAGUGACAGGGGAACAGUGGGCUAAUGAUGCUAUAUCAUCAUUUCAGAGCAGUAUAUCUUACAUCCAAUAUUGAAUCAAGGUGCUCUCUCUUCUACACAAAGUCAAAAAUGCUCCCGCCCUUCAUGAUUUGUAGGACUUUAACAUAUUUUGACCAGUGUUCAUUGUGUUUCUGACUUUUCCUCAGUGAGAAAAAAUGUUUUAUUUUGCUGUAAAAUUAUUGCAACAAAUUAUUAAAUUAUUAAAUGUAUUUCUUAGACACUGGAAGUAAACUUUUUUUUUUUUUCCCCUACAUUUUAUCAUAUGUUUAGAGGUGAUUUGACUUUGUGUUUUGCUUAUAUUGCCAGUCAAAUGGAAAGGGUUUGAAAACAUAUCAAAUUUGGUACAGCAGUUCUGGCAAAUGAAAUCUGUUUUUUGUGCAACUACUAACCAAUUACUCUAACUUUGGAUUCCUAGUUACCAAGGGUGGGCAUAUAGUAUGAUCAAAAUUAAUGUGAAGAUAAUGUGAAGCUUUCAAAUCUCACGUAUUAGUGCUUUACCAUGUUUUUUUUUCCUUCCUUAUUACUGAUCUGUCUUAUUUUAUUAGCAUAAAUUAAAUAAAAUUUUGAAUGAAUA